rnacentral:rRNA from 1 species
UACGUAGGGUGCAAGCGUUAAUCGGAAUUACUGGGCGUAAAGCGUGCGCAGGCGGUUCGGUAAGAAAGAUGUGAAAUCCCAGGGCUUAACCUUGGAACUGCAUUUUUAACUACCGGGCUAGAGUGUGUCAGAGGGGGGUGGAAUUCCACGUGUAGCAGUGAAAUGCGUAGAUAUGUGGAGGAACACCGAUGGCGAAGGCAGCCCCCUGGGAUAACACUGACGCUCAUGCACGAAAGCGUGGGGAGCAAACAGG